GUCUACAUCCAUGCUACUCUGAAUAAGCCCGAUCCCGUCUGAUCUCGGAAGCUAAGCAGGGUUGAGCCUUGUUGGUACUUGGAUGGGAGACCACCUAGGAAGAUCAGGUGCUAUAGGUG
rfam:Pteropus alecto contig47747, whole genome shotgun sequence.